GCUUUUGUGGGGUGCUCGAGUGGCGAACGGGUGAGUAACACGUGAGUAACCUGCCCUUGACUUUGGGAUAACUUCGGGAAACUGGGGCUAAUACCGGAUAGGAGCUCCUGCUGCAUGGUGGGGGUUGGAAAGUUUCGGCGGUUGGGGAUGGACUCGCGGCUUAUCAGCUUGUUGGUGGGGUAGUGGCUUACCAAGGCUUUGACGGGUAGCCGGCCUGAGAGGGUGACCGGCCACAUUGGGACUGAGAUACGGCCCAG
rnacentral:rRNA from 1 species